rnacentral:rRNA from 1 species
CAAUAGCGUAUAUUUAAGUUGCUGCAGUUAAAAAGCUCGUAGUUGGAUUUCGGGUGGGAAUGGCCGGUCCGCCGUUUCGGUGUGCACUUGCUACGCCCACCUUGCUGCCGGGGACGUGCUCUUGAGUUCACGCUCGGGACACGGAGUCGGCGAGGUUACUUUGAGUAAAUCAGAGUGUUCAAAGCAGGCCUACGCUCUGAAUACAUUAGCAUGGAAUAACACGAUAGGACUCUGGCCUAUCUUGUUGGUCUGUAGGACCGGAGUAAUGAUUAAGAGGGACAGUCGGGGGCAUUCGUAUCUCAUUGUCAGAGGUGAAAUUCUUGGAUUUAUGAAAGACGAACUACUGCGAAAGCAUUUGCCAAGGAUGUUUUCAUUAA